CAGCUAAGUAACUUACCCAAGGGCACAAAGCUAGCAGGAUCUGCUACCCUAAAAUCUAAGAAGCAUCAGAAGAAAGACUUUGUCUGCUUUGUUCGCUGCCCUAUCCCCAGUGCAGCUCAAGAAAUGUCCAACAGGGAGAAAGGAAGAGAAGUGGGGAUCCGAAAAAAAGAGGUGAGAAAUGGAGAAUCUGUCUUCUGCCUCCACUAAAAUGUCUCUCAUCAUGGCCAAGGUGGCUCAUGACCACACAAUUGCUAAAUGAAAUGGAAGCACUUUUUGUUAAUCUGGAUAUAGUCUUGAAAUUUUUGCCCUCAUAUUUUGAGACCACCUUCUCCUUGCUCUCUGACUGAACCUCCUUAUUUUCCUCUUCAAGAUCCCUUUUUUCUAUUGUCUCUUAAAUGUUAAAUUUACCCUAGGAAAUCGUCCUGAGUCCGCAGGUUCUUUUAGUCUCCCUAGGGAAUGGCCUCCAAGCUGGCGCCUACUCAGGCAGUGUUGUACUGCCCCCUACUGGUGUAACUGAAAAGUAGGUCAGUCGCACGCCACGUGUAGAGUCCAAUUUACAAGCACCAGGCCUGGCACAAGAAAAGUGAAUGUAUUUCCAAAACUAGUUUGGGAGGAGGGCAGGAAGUGUCCUCCUUUAAAUGUGCCACGUUGCCUUUGGAGCAAAAAGUGAACACUUUUAUAAGGUAAAAGAGAAGUGAGCAAGGCAGGGAGGUCUCCCUGCUACUGGGCAGUUAAACACUGAGCAGUUGAGUAGGUGCCCUACCUAGUCUCCAUUGUCUGCGUGCUUUAUUCCUCUUG